GCAGAAGUCCAUCCUGAUGAGACUAGUAGCUACACAUCGGCAGAAACAUCUCACAUAGUAAUGUGGUUUUGCUUGAUUCAAGGCUGUUUAUUAGGUCUGUGGGAACUACAAGACAGCU
ensembl:snoRNA Gm56170 predicted gene, 22541